UCUAAAGUAGCCAGUUACGCUGGGAAACUGAGCUGCUCUGAACUGUGUGGAACAGCGCAGGACUUCAAAAUAAAUGGAUUAUGUCAUAUUUGCUGGCAAACAGCUAACAACCUUGUAUAUAUAAUUAAGGAAGAGAUUAAAAAAACAACUACUACAGCCAAGCCAGAAAAAAAAACAUUCAGUCUCGGCAUGUGAAAGAGUUUUGCUGGAUGCCACCUGUAACUUCAUCCGCCACAUUUCAGAUGAAGAAACAGCUGGGAAGGUGACACCUCAUAUACCGAGAGGUAUCUGAAUAUAAAAAUCAGCCAACCAAUCCACCUACCCACUGUAAACAUGAAGUAGUCAACCUAUGUGUUCAAAUUUCUCUGACAGAUAUUAGAGCUUUCCCACUGAGAUGGUUGGGUGUCCCCAUCCUGGAGGUGCACUAGCAAACUCAGCAUCACGGAGGCCCCCAGAAUCGCAGCAAAGGCCUCCAUGCACUGCACUCAGCAGCUCUGUGGCUCUGUUUUACAUAGAGGGAAAUAAAAGCAGAGAGAUUAAUGAAUUUUCACAGGUCAUAGAAUAGGAGUGGGUGUCAGGCUGGGAAUGUUAAGCCAUGCCUACCCUACUCUUCCAGCAUACACACUGAAAUAAACGAUGCUCACAGAUAUUUGUCACACUUUGGCAGAUCUGCAGCCAUGGCAAUCGCUCUAGAGCAACUUUUCCUCCAUGCAGCUUUCAAGAAGCUCUCACAGGCUCAAAGGCAAAGCCGCCCUUUGUGCUUGGGCACCUUCAUCACAGAAAAGAGCUGCAGUUCUGGGUUUACUUUUGAAAGCAGUGAAGCACUUGCACUUCAGAAAAAAACACAUCUCCAGGAUCAGACAUACUUACAUACACUUAAGAAACAAGUGGAUGAAGUCUAAGAGCAGCUCCUCUGAAUUAAUGCAAUAUAACCAACAACCUCAUCACAUAACAGCUAUGUGUAAGCAAAGCACUUUAAAACUCAAAGUACUCCAGGGCAGCUAAAACUUCUGAGCUCAAAUCAUUUUCAUUUGUCAGCUCUUAUUUUGCUCACACGUGCAGGAAUCCAGAGGGCCUCCUCUAUGAUGGAGGCCCAGGCACACAUGCAUGACACAGAGCUACUGCUUUGCAAACACACAUGCUGUGCUAUGGGUUUCUGAGUCAGAUAUCUGAGGAAAGAAUGACUGCCCUGGAACUGGUGGAAAAACAGUAGUACACUGAUGGCUGGCUUAAUAAAGAACGUAGAAUAACUUUUCCCCUUCAUCGCAGGGAUGUAAAUAAAGAAAGGAAAUGAGCACUUAAUCUCAGCAAUCAAUCGCGUGCUUACUACUAAGUUUGCUGGACAACUGGAAGCUCCAUAAUGCACUCGUUUAUUUUGCAGGGAGACAGACUCACAGCACUACUACACUGGAUGCCAGUGAACAAACUGCAAAACAAUGGCUGAGCCAAAGCUUCGUGAUGUCAGCACGAGACUGGCCUGCACACCCCCAGGCAUCAGACCCAGCUGUUCCAACAGGGAUAUGUGCUGACCCAAAAGCCUUUGCUCCUAGCACGAUCCUCAUCCAGCAGCAGUGGAAGGAUGGUUCCAGGUUAUCCAACUUUCAUCUGAAACUGGCUUAGGAUCUUUAGCUGAAGCCUUUCACAUAAGCCACCAAAAAGUUGCAUUUGAAAUCCAUAGGAUGCGACGCGCUUUAACCUCCACACGCCAACUGGUGAUGGAUCGUACAAGCAAGUGGCCACUAGAGGGAUAUCUGAAAUCAGUGAUAUAGAACCAAUCAGUGAUUUUCUUCAUGGAAAAACAAAGCAACAAAGUCUGUAUCAGAGGAAACA